UGAGGAAUAUUGGACAAUGGGCGCAAGCCUGAUCCAGCCAUGCCGCGUGCAGGAAGAAGCAUCUAUGGUGUGUAAACUGCUUUUGUACGGGAAGAAACACUCCUUCGUGAAGGAGCUUGACGGUACCGUAAGAAUAAGGAUCGGCUAACUCCGUGCCAGCAGCCGCGGUAAUACGGAGGAUCCAAGCGUUAUCCGGAAUCAUUGGGUUUAAAGGGUCCGUAGGCGGUUUAGUGAGUCAGUGGUGAAAGCCCAUCGCUCAACGAUGGAACGGCCAUUGAUACUGCUAGACUUGAAUUACAAGGAAGUAACUAGAAUAUGUAGUGUAGCGGUAAAAUGCUUAGAUAUUACAUGGAAUACCAAUUGCGAAGGCAGGUUACUACUUGUGGAUUGACGCUGAUGGACGAAAGCGUGGGGAGCGAACA
rnacentral:rRNA from 1 species